AUCUAAAUUUUUAAUCAUAUGCUGUACAAACUACAAAGUAUAUAGCUCUGCUGACAACUGGACCAGUACUAAUUUUGGACCACUCGAUGGAUAUUGUUGGACAUCUCCAGAAUUACAAUGGUCAUUUUUACUUCAAAAAAUUCAUUCUGCCUAUAAAUAGACUAUACUUGUUUCUCGGCUAGUUUAGUUAAAUCUCAUAUUGACCGAUUCUAGAUAGAUGGUUCUCACUCAACACUAACUUGCAGAAUAUGUUGGUGAACCUUGACCCCCCUGCUCCCCAAAAUAACAAUUUUUAACACAGCAUUGACCAUGCUCUAACCGCAUCAAAAUCACAUCCAUUUUGUUGGCAAAAAGUACCCAUUUUGUCAGUAAAAUUAAGGCAUAUGCCAACUCUGAGUGAGAUAGAACCCUGGAAGUUGAUGUGACAUCUGCUGCCCCGUAAUGCGUACUGAGAACCCACCAACAGACAAUUCCCAAAUCAAAUGAAGUUAUCCUUUAGUUGCAUGUUAUUCAAACUAACUUUUUAUCCAGACACUAACAAAGUUGGAUGAAGUGCCCAUGAGGCAAUCAAUGGUUACAAUGAUUUAACUUUAGGAUCACAUUGUCAUCGCCAUUUCAAGCUAUUGUUUUAUGUGAAUUUAAGAAAAUUUAGAAAGUGUCUUUUAACAGACAUUUAUGAUAUAAUAGGGACUUUUGUUAACGGCAAAUGGCAGACUUCGAUUCGCAUUUGAAAGUAAGGCUUUUGAAUGAGCUUAUUCAUGUUUCAAUUGUAGUGAUUGAUCCAGCCAUAAAUGUCAAACUAUAAAAGGUCUCUAAUACAUUGCUCAGUCAAAGUCCGUUUCCUAUUGGUUCAUGAGAAGUUCAUGUCAUUUGUGAGUCCAUUUGUUGGUACCAUACAACAGUCAUUCAUAUUCCAGUAUAAAAACCAUUUUCUUCAUUACGUGCAUGGUAGUUGGUACCAUGAAUCUUGCACCAAUUUACUUUCAAUCCAGGUCUGAAAUCAAUCUUCUAAACUAUUUCUAAAGUCUUCAAGUCUUGCGGUGUAUAAAUUAGGGAAAUAAUUCUGUUCAAUCGCUACUACGUGUGUUUCACGAUUUAAUGAUAAUUAUUACGUAUUGUCUUCGCAUUCCAGAAAGAAAAAGCAAUUCCCUAGUCCACUGUAGCACAUGAGUGCGAUUGCUGCCACAAAUACAAUCGUACAGAUCGUACAAGGCCUUCUUUCGAGAAAGAAACUCGCCAGAUACAAAGUCAUAAACAUUGAAUGGUUUUGUAGCAGAAACGGGUUCGCUGGUUUGGGAAUCAGCAACAAAGGCAACAGCCAUUGUAAACAGUACAUCUUUGGUAUAUAUAUAAUUAUAGCUUCUUCGUCUUUCUAACAUAUAAUGUAAUCUGCCUCGGUUUAUCUGCUGCUUAGAUCUUUUAAACCAAAGGACAUUUUUCCACGCUUGAAAUCCGAGACAAACACUUCGCUAAUUUCGUGCAUCUGUUGUUUUGUUAGUGUGCGUGUCUGUGACAAGAUGUCAAUUUUUAUCUCGUAGAAAUAGUCGCGAUAGAUAUCCGCGAAAACAGCUUCGGCCAGGGGGGAGCGGAUCAUCAAAUAGAUACAUUCUUAUCAUUUAUAGAAAAAAGUAACAUCACAAAUAAAAGCAAAUUUUGAAGCUAGUCGGUGAACAAAAUUUGCUUAGCUUUAUAAAAGAACCUUGAAAGAGUUAAGACAAAUUUACAUUGGUAAUGAACUGUAUAUUGUCAUACAUGUAAAGCAUGUUUAUAUUUAUAUUUCGUAGAUUUUAGUUGCAAAAGCAUAAAAAUUAUGAAUAUAUGACACAGUAAUAUUAUAAUUAUUCAAGAAUAAAUGCUGU
rnacentral:lncRNA from 1 species